UACGAAGGGGCUAGCGUUGCUCGGAAUUACUGGGCGUAAAGCGCACGUAGGCGGCUUUCUAAGUCGGGGGUGAAAUCCUGGAGCUCAACUCCAGAACUGCCUUCGAUACUGGAGAGCUUGAGUCCGGGAGAGGUGAGUGGAACUGCGAGUGUAGAGGUGAAAUUCGUAGAUAUUCGGAAGAACACCAGUGGCGAAGGCGGC
rnacentral:rRNA from 1 species